UACGUAGGGUGCUAGCGUUGUCCGGAUUUAUUGGGCGUAAAGGGCUCGUAGGGCGGCGUGUCGCGUCGGGGAGUGAAAGCCCGCUGCUUAACGGCGGGUUGGCUUCCGGUACGGGCAUCGCUGGAGUGCGGCAGGGGAGACUGGAAUUCCUGGUGUAGCGGUGGAAUGCGCAGAUAUCAGGAGGAACACCGGUGGCGAAGGCGGGUCUC
rnacentral:rRNA from 1 species